rnacentral:rRNA from 1 species
GUAGGUGGCAAGCGUUGUCCGGAAUUAUUGGGCGUAAAGCGCGCGCAGGCGGUUCUUUAAGUCUGAUGUGAAAGCCCACGGCUCAACCGUGGAGGGUCAUUGGAAACUGGAGAACUUGAGUACAGAAGAGGAAAGCGGAAUUCCACGUGUAGCGGUGAAAUGCGUAGAGAUGUGGAGGAACACCAGUGGCGAAGGCGGCUUUCUGGUCUGUAACUGACGCUGAGGCGCGAAAGCGUGGGGAGCAAACAGGACUAGAUACCCUGGUAGUCCACGCCGUAAACGAUGAGUGCUAAGUGUUAGGGGGUUUCCGCCCCCCUUAGUGCUGCAGCUAACGCAUUAAGCACUCCGCCUGGGAGUACGGCCGCAAGGCUG